rnacentral:rRNA from 1 species
GAUGAACGCUGGCGGCGUGCCUAAUACAUGCAAGUCGAGCGAACGGACGAGAAGCUUGCCUCUCUGAUGGUAGCGGCGGACGGGUGAGUAACACGUGGAUAACCUUCCUAUAAGACUGGGAUAACUUCGUGAAACCGGUGCUAAUACUGGAUAAUAUUUUGAACCGCAUGGUUCAAAAGUAAAAGACGGUCUUGCUGUCACUUAUAGAUGGAUCCGCGUUGCAUUAGCUAGUUGGUAAGGUAACGGCUUACCAAGGCAACGAUGCAUAGCCGACCUGAGAGGGUGAUCGGCCACACUGGAACUGAGACACGGUCCAGACUCCUACGGGAGGCAGCAGUAGGGAAUAUUCCGCAAUGGGCGAAAGCCUGACGGAGCAACGCCGCGUGAGUGAUGAAGGUCUUCGGAUCGUAAAGCUCUGUUAUUAGGGAAGAACAGAUGUGUAAGUAACUGUGCACAUCUUGACGGUACCUAAUCAGAAAGCAACGGCUAACUACGUG